AAGUAGUCAAGUUUCUUCUUUAAGGACACCUGAAGAGGAUGAUAUGGCUUUCUUUGAAAGACGAUACCAGGAAAGGAUGAAAAUGGAAAAGGCUGCUAAGUUGAAAGGAAAAGCUCCGUUGCCAUCAGCUACAAAACCCUCAUGAAGACUACUGGAGAAAUUAAAACUAUUAUCCAAGUAUCUUUUUCAUGUUUAUUUAAAUGCCAAAUAUAUCUACUGAUUUUUAAGUUGUGUUGUCAACUACCCAUUGUCUAUAACUGUACUGGACACAUCUUGUGUGCCACUGCAAAUCCUGUUGGCCCCAUUUCUUACUCCAUUACUGCUGUGGAACACUUUCCAGCAGGCUUCUGGUAGUGGAAGCCAUUUGAUGGCACCUUGUCUUGGGCGCCUGUCACAGCUCUCUUGCUUCCUUCUGCAGGGAUCUUCUGACACUGUGGCUUGGGAUGCCCACUGGAACCCCACUGUGUCAUACAUAUGCAGCCCAAAGAUGUUGGGGAGCUAGUGACUUUGGGGCCACUCUUGAUUAAUGGGCGGUGGAAGCCCAAUAGAUAAGUGCUCUCCCGUCUGUUGGGACGACAAUUCUGAAAUGCAUUUCAUAAACUUCCUCAGAAAAUCCUAUCGAGCUCCAGUCACCCAUAGCAGUGGCCAACUCAAUAAUAACAUAUCCUUAUGUUAUCUUUUUCUUUUUUCCUUUUCCACUCCUCUACCCCUCCCUCUGUUUCCCUCAGAUCACUUCCCAAAUAAAUUACUUGCAUAACAACA
rnacentral:sRNA from 1 species